CGAGACUGUGAAGUGGAGCAAAUCUCAAAAAAUUAGUCUCAGUUCGGAUUGCAGGCUGCAACUCGCCUGCAUGAAGUCGGAAUUGCUAGUAAUCGCGGAUCAGCAUGCCGCGGUGAAUACGUUCUCGGGCCUUGUACACACCGCCCGUCAAGCCAUGGGAGUCGGGAGUGCCUGAAGUUCGUGACCGUCACAGGAGCGACCUAAGGCAAGACCGAUGACUGGGGCUAAGUCGUAACAAGGUACC
rnacentral:rRNA from 1 species